rfam:Picoides pubescens contig42761, whole genome shotgun sequence.
GGGGAUGUAGCUCAGUGGUAGAGUGCACACUUUGCAUGUGUGAGGUCCUGGGUUCAAUCCCUGGCAUCUCCA